UUCCUACUCCCUCCGUCCGAAAAAGUUUGUCCCUCAAAUGGAUGUAUCUAUCACUAACUUGGUGCUAGAUACAUCCAUUUGAGGGACAAGCUUGGGACAAGCUUUUUCGGACGGAGGGAGUAUUUA
rfam:Triticum urartu cultivar G1812 contig822367, whole genome shotgun sequence.